rnacentral:rRNA from 1 species
GUGGGGAAUAUUGGACAAUGGGGGCAACCCUGAUCCAGCAAUGCCGCGUGUGUGAAGAAGGCCUUCGGGUUGUAAAGCACUUUUGUCCGGAAAGAAAACCGCCUGGCUAAUAUCCGGGUGGGAUGACGGUACCGGAAGAAUAAGCACCGGCUAACUACGUGCCAGCAGCCGCGGUAAUACGUAGGGUGCAAGCGUUAAUCGGAAUUACUGGGCGUAAAGCGUGCGCAGGCGGUUCGCUAAGACAGAUGUGAAAUCCCCGGGCUUAACCUGGGAACUGCAUUUGUGACUGGCGGGCUAGAGUAUGGCAGAGGGGGGUAGAAUUCCACGUGUAGCAGUGAAAUGCGUAGAGAUGUGGAGGAAUACCGAUGGCGAAGGCAGCCCCCUGGGCCAAUACUGACGCUCAUGCACGAAAGCGUGGGGAGCAAAC